GGGGGGACCAUCCUCCAAGGCUAAAUACUCCUGACUGACCGAUAGUGAACCAGUACCGUGAGGGAAAGGCGAAAAGAACCCCUGUGAGGGGAGUGAAAUAGAACCUGAAACCGUGUACGUACAAGCAGUAGGAGCCCACUUGUUGGGUGACUGCGUACCUUUUGUAUAAUGGGUCAGCGACUUAAUUUUAGUAGCAAGGUUAACCGUUUAGGGGAGCCGUAGGGAAACCGAGUCUUAACUGGGCG
rnacentral:rRNA from 1 species